rnacentral:rRNA from 1 species
UACGAAGGGGGCUAGCGUUGUUCGGAAUCACUGGGCGUAAAGCGCACGUAGGCGGCUUUUUAAGUCAGGGGUGAAAUCCCGAGGCUCAACCUCGGAACUGCCUUUGAUACUGGAGAUCUUGAGUCCGGAAGAGGUAAGUGGAACUGCGAGUGUAGAGGUGAAAUUCGUAGAUAUUCGCAAGAACACCAGUGGCGAAGGCGGCUCACUGGCCCGAUACUGACGCUGAGGCACGAAAGCGUGGGGAGCAAACAGG